rnacentral:rRNA from 1 species
GACGAACGCUGGCGGCGUGCUUAACACAUGCAAGUCGAACGAGUGGAGAACGGGUGAGUAAUACGUGAGUAACCUGCCCUCUUUUUGGGAUAAGCCUUGGAAACGGGGUCUAAUACCGGAUAACGGGGGAUGGGCUCGCGGCCUAUCAGCUUGUUGGUGGGGUGAUGGCCUACCAAGGCGGUGACGGGUAGCCGGCCUGAGAGGGUGACCGGCGACAUUGUGGCUGAGAUACGGCCCCGCUUCCUACGGGAGGCAGAAGGGUGGGAUAUUGCACAAGGGGCGAAAGCCUCAUGCGGCGUCGCCGCGUGGGGGAUGAGGGCUUUGGGGUUGGAAACCUCUUUCGCUAGGGAACGGGUAGGUGGAGAAGAAGCGCCGGCGAACUACGUGCCAGCAGCCGCGGUAAUUC